UACGUAGGGGGCAAGCGUUGUCCGGAAUCAUUGGGCGUAAAGAGCGUGUAGGCGGUCCGGUCAGUCGGUUGUGAAAGUCAAGGGCUCAACCCUUGAAUGCCGGCCGAUACUGCCGGGCUAGAGUCCGGAAGAGGUGAGUGGAAUUCCUGGUGUAGCGGUGAAAUGCGCAGAUAUCAGGAGGAACACCGAUGGCGAAGGCAGCUCGCUGGGACGUGACUGACGCUGAGACGCGAAAGCGUGGGGAGCAAACAGG
rnacentral:rRNA from 1 species